ACUGAACGCUGGCGGCAGGCCUAACACAUGCAAGUCGAACGGUAACAGGAAGAAGCUUGCUUCUUUGCUGACGAGUGGCGGACGGGUGAGUAAUGUCUGGGAAACUGCCUGAUGGAGGGGGAUAACUACUGGAAACGGUAGCUAAUACCGCAUAACGUCGCAAGACCAAAAAGGGGGACCUUCGGGCCUCUUGCCAUCGGAUGUGCCCAGAUGGGAUUAGCUAGUAGGUGGGGUAACGGCUCACCUAGGCGACGAUCCCUAGCUGGUCUGAGAGGAUGACCAGCCACACUGGAACUGAGACACGGUCCAGACUCCUACGGGAGGCAGCAGUGGGGAAUACUGCACAAUGGGCGCAAGCCUGAUGCAGCCAUGCCGCGUGUAUGAAGAAGGCCUUCGGGUUGUAAAGUACUUUCAGCGGGGAGGAAGGGAGUAAAGUUAAUACCUUUGCUCAUUGACGUUACCCGCAGAAGAAGCACCGGCUAGCUCCGUG
rnacentral:rRNA from 1 species